AACGAACGCUGGCGGCAUGCCUAACACAUGCAAGUCGAACGAGAUCUUCGGGUCUAGUGGCGCACGGGUGCGUAACGCGUGGGAAUCUGCCCUUUGGUUCGGGAUAACAGUUGGAAACGACUGCUAAUACCGGAUGAUGACGAAAGUCCAAAGAUUUAUCGCCAGAGGAUGAGCCCGCGUAGGAUUAGCUAGUUGGUGUGGUAAAGGCGCACCAAGGCGACGAUCCUUAGCUGGUCUGAGAGGAUGAUCAGCCACACUGGGACUGAGACACGGACCAGACUCCUACGGGGGGCAGCAGUGGGGAAUAUUGGACAAUGGGCGAAAGCCUGAUCCAGCAAUGCCGCGUGAGUGAUGAAGGCCUUAGGGUUGUAAAGCUCUUUUACCCGGGAUGAUAAUGACAGUACCGGGAGAAUAAGCUCCGGCUAACUCCGUGCCAGCCGCCGCCGUAA
rnacentral:rRNA from 1 species